rnacentral:rRNA from 1 species
GACGAACGCUGGCGGCGUGCUUAAUACAUGCCAGUAGAACGCACAGUUUAUACCGUAGCUGGCUACACCAUAGACUGUGAGUUGCGAACGGGUGAGGAACGCGGAGGUAACCUGCCUGGUAGCGGGGGAUAACUAGGGGAAACGAUAGCUAAUACCGCAUAAUAUUAAUUAUGGCAUGAUAAUUGAUUGAAAGUUGCAACUGCAUCACGACCAGAUGGACCUGCGGUGUCUUAGCUGGUAGGUGAGGUAAAGGCUCACCUAGGGGACGAUACAUCGUCGACAUGCGAGGAUGAUCGGCCACCCUGGGACUGAGACCCGCCCCAGUGUCCUAGGGGAGCCGGCAGUAGGGAUUCUUCGGCAAUGGGUGAAAGACUGAGCGAACAACGCGGAGUGCGUGAAGAACGUCUUCGGAUCGUAAAGCUCGGUUGUCGGGGAAGAACGGGUGUUAGAGUGGAAAGUUCACACUGUGACGGUAUCUUACAAGAAAGGGCCGGCUAACUACGUG